GGAAUAUGGGAAGGCAUGUAAUUUCACCACUUCCCUUUUAAAAUAUAAAACUCAUACUGGGGGGAAAAUAUGCAUGUAAACAAUGUGGUAAUGUCCUCAGUGUUUCCAGUUCUAGUUGAAGACAUGAAAGAAGUCAUUUCUGAAAAUCCCUGUAAACAUAUGGAAUGUGGGGAUGCCUUUGUUUCUCUCAGGUACAUUCAAAGACACAUGACAUGUGCACAAUGGAGAUGAAUCUUAUAAGAAUGUAUUCUGUAUCUAAAUCCUAGUACUUGGCAAAACAGGUAAGUUUCCAUUUUAAUAAUUAUUUCAAAAA
rnacentral:lncRNA from 1 species